CUAUGGCUACAUCCAGGAAUCUUCCACCAAAACAACAGGGUUUUGAGGAAGUCAACCUCUCUGGUGCUUCUCGGUAAGCUACAGGACAGAAUCAGUUGUACUCUAUGGUUUCUCCUGGUUUUCCAGUUAUAAAUCUAAUUUACUCAGCAGAUAUAUUGAGAGACAUGGGGGGUGGGAAAGGAUGGGUUCCAGAAGUAGUAUCUAAUUUAAUUUUGUGGCUCAUGUUACAGGGAUGUUAGGUGAAACUCUUUAGGCUGCAAUUGUAAAGAUCCAACCUGAACCAAGCAACUUCCAUUCAAACUGGGAGAUUUGAUUGACUUCAUGAUUGGGACACAUCAUCAGCUCCAAAGACUUGGAGGUUUCCUGAGCUCCUUUUAAGUGCCAGGUCUCAUGCUUAUUGGCUGAUGCAAAGACAGUUCUUGAUGCUGGUUUUGCAGGGAAGAGGCACAGGAGCGAGCCGUUAGGGUCUAGAGUGGAAGGAAUUCAGGAGCCAUCAGGAAGUAACAAAUGAUGAGCAGCAAGUGCUGUGUUGAGAAAGCAAAGGUGCAUAGUCCACAGAGUGGGGCUACUGGGAGGGGAGUGGCCCAGUCUCAAUUAUAUUUAACAUUCUAUGCUUUUUAAUGAAAGGGGCGGUGCAUGCUAAUAAAGGGGAGGAAUAUUCAUGUGGGUUUUUUUUUUU